rnacentral:lncRNA from 1 species
UUAAUUUGACCAUUUAAAAAAACAAGCACACAUAAAACUAGAAAAAGCCAUACAUGCACAUGAGUGAAAGCAUGGAGGAUAACACACAAUAAAGUCUGGGACUUAUUUCCAUUGUUAAAGCAUGGAGGAUAACACACAAUAAAAGUCGGGACUUAUUUCCAUUGUUAAGCAUGGAGGAUAACACACAAUAAAGUCUGGGACUUAUUUCCAUUGUUAAAGCAUGGAGGAUAACACACAAUAAAGUCUGGGACUUAUUUCCAUUGAUAAAGCUGGAGGAUAACACACAAAGUCUGGGACUUAUUUCCAUUGUUAAAGCAUGGAGGAUAACACACAAUAAAGUCUGGGACUUAUUUCCAUUGUUAAAGCAUGGAGGAUAACACACAAUAAGUCUGGGACUUAUUUCCAUUGUAAAGCAUGGAGGAUAACACACAUAAAGUC